AUUGAACGCUGGCGGCAUGCUUUACACAUGCAAGUCGAACGGUAACAGGCCGCAAGGUGCUGACGAGUGGCGCACGGGUGCGUAAUGCAUCGGAACGUGCCCAGUCGUGGGGGGUAACUACUCGAAAGAGUAGCUAAUACCGCAUACGAUCUAUGGAUGAAAGCGGGGGACCGCAAGGCCUCGCGCGCUUGGAGCGGCCGAUGUCAGAUUAGGUAGUUGGUGGGGUAAAGGCUCACCAAGCCAACGAUCUGUAGCUGGUCUGAGAGGACGACCAGCCACACUGGGACUGAGACACGGCCCAGACUCCUACGGGAGGCAGCAGUGGGGAAUUUUGGACAAUGGGCGCAAGCCUGAUCCAGCAAUGCCGCGUGCAGGAAGAAGGCCUUCGGGUUGUAAACUGCUUUUGUACGGAACGAAACGGCUCUGGUUAAUACCCGGGGCUAAUGACGGUACCGUAAGAAUAAGCACCGGCUAACUACGUG
rnacentral:rRNA from 1 species